rnacentral:rRNA from 1 species
UACGUAGGGGGCUAGCGUUAUCCGGAAUUACUGGGCGUAAAGGGUGCGUAGGUGGUUUCUUAAGUCAGAGGUGAAAGGCUACGGCUCAACCGUAGUAAGCCUUUGAAACUGGGAAACUUGAGUGCAGGAGAGGAGAGUGGAAUUCCUAGUGUAGCGGUGAAAUGCGUAGAUAUUAGGAGGAACACCAGUUGCGAAGGCGGCUCUCUGGACUGUAACUGACGCUGAGGCACGAAAGCGUGGGGAGCAAACAGGAUUAGAUACCCGCGUAGUCCCUGAG